AUUGAACGCUGGCGGCAUGCCUUACACAUGCAAGUCGAACGGUAACGGGCCUUCGGGUGCCGACGAGUGGCGAACGGGUGAGUAAUACAUCGGAACGUGCCCGAUCGUGGGGGAUAACGAGGCGAAAGCUUUGCUAAUACCGCAUACGAUCUACGGAUGACAGCAGGGGACCGCAAGGCCUUGCGCGGGCGGAGCGGCCGAUGGCAGAUUAGGUAGUUGGUGGGAUAAAAGCUUACCAAGCCGACGAUCUGUAGCUGGUCUGAGAGGAUGAUCAGCCACACUGGGACUGAGACACGGCCCAGACUCCUACGGGAGGCAGCAGUGGGGAAUUUUGGACAAUGGGCGCAAGCCUGAUCCAGCCAUGCCGCGUGCAGGAUGAAGGCCUUCGGGUUGUAAACUGCUUUUGUACGGAACGAAAAGCCUUCUUUUAAUACAGGAGGGUCAUGACGGUACCGUAAGAAUAAGCACCGGCUAACUACGUG
rnacentral:rRNA from 1 species